rnacentral:rRNA from 13 species
UCUCCGUUGGUGAACCAGCGGAGGGAUCAUUAC